CGAAGUCAAGAGGAGCUUGCUCUUUUUGACUUAGUGGCGAACGGGUGAGUAACGCGUGAGGAACCUGCCUCAAAGAGGGGGACAACAGUUGGAAACGACUGCUAAUGCCGCAUAAGCCCACAGCUCCGCAUGGAGCAGAGGGAAAAGGAGCAAUCCGCUUUGAGAUGGCCUCGCGUCCGAUUAGCUAGUUGGUGAGGUAACGGCCCACCAAGGCGACGAUCGGUAGCCGGACUGAGAGGUUGAUCGGCCACAUUGGGACUGAGACACGGCCCAGACUCCUACGGGAGGCAGCAGUGGGGAAUAUUGCACAAUGGGGGAAACCCUGAUGCAGCGACGCCGCGUGGAGGAAGAAGGUCUUCGGAUUGUAAACUCCUGUUGUUGGGGAAGAUAAUGACGGUACCCAACAAGGAAGUGACGGCUAACUACGUGCCAGCAGCCGCGGUAAAACGUAGGUCACAAGCGUUGUCCGG
rnacentral:rRNA from 1 species